AUGCAAAUGGAAGCCAGAGGAAAAGGGAACCCUUGACACAGUUUUCAUAUAGAUUGGCCUCCAGAGCAGACAGCAGGAGGGGGGUUUAAUCUGGACUGAAUUGGAGGAAAGGAACUGGCACCAGAGUGGAGGCUGGAAGGAUGGUGGAACUGACACUGGGACAGAACACAGAAAACAGAAUCUAAUGCUAAGUGGAAUAAGGACAAUGAUGCAAAAAAGAGCCGUUCUCAGAGGGAGUCAGUCAUGUGCAAGCUCAGCGUGUCAGGAGACACCAGGGAGGCCCAGGUGGGAACCUCUCAUGCUUGCACUGUGAAGGGGAGCCAAUGCAAAAUGGAGUCCUGGGGCCAGGACAGAAGUGAACCCUAGACUUGUGAGAGCUGAAUAUACAAAUGGACGACGGCUGGACCCCAUAUAAAAAUAGAACUCUGACCCACAGCCUGCAGCAACCUGCCUAAAAAACCAAUCCUCUUAUCUACAAUGAAAAGCCCAGGUAGCCAGCCUGCUAGAAGUCAGACUUGCAGGAAACCAGAUUGUUAUCUUUAGUCAUGAUCCAAGAAGCUAAACAAUAACUUCUAUAACAAUCAGCCCCAAAUGGCCAGGAUGUGAUUAAUAAUUGGCAGCUUCCCUAAUUUUUAUCCUGACUCCCAACUUGGACCAAUCAGAGAAAGCCAACUAUGCCCCCUA
rnacentral:lncRNA from 1 species